CGGGCCAAAUCAUAUGCAACAGUUCCAAUAGCAGCCUGAAAUGGCAAUUAUAAAGUAAGAGUUAAACAAUGUUACCACUGAUACAAAUAGAUGACCAUCGUAUAGCACACAUUUUUGGACAAGUUAGUAAGUUUAUACUGGGUCCAAUUUUCAACACCCUUGGUAAUAACUGUAAUCAUCAGUACAAAAUAUCCUUCUAUAACUUUUUCAACUUUGUAGUGCUGUUUUUAUAAUGAUAGUUAGCUACACAUUCUAGUAAACCAUCUUAAAAACUACAGAUCAUUACAAUUAUAGAUAACUAAAAUAACUCUGCUUUCAAUAAGGAAAAGAAACAAAUGUGAUGCUAAAAGCUACAGAUGUAGAAGCAGAUAAGCAAUAAAGUAAGUGAUUACUUUCUCCAUUGUAGUCAUUGUGUGUUGUUUGUUUUUUUGUAAAUAAUACAACGUAAAAAAAAAUAAAUAAAUUUUUUUAUUAAAAAGCACAAAAAGAAAAGAAAAAAAAGCUCGUUGGGUGUGUGUUAAGUUUUAAUGUAAGCAGUUGUUUUUAAAUAUUUAUCUCUGCCACAAUGUCAGUAUAAAUAGAAACGAUAUUUUUAGUUGACAUUGCGUUAAUUAAGUUUAAGUGUUAAAACUUAGAAGCCAUAAGUCUGACAAUGCUAGACAAAACACAUUGACCUGAACUGUUGCUUUUGGUAGCC